GUGAAAACAAACAAACUAGCACACAAUGAAAAACCAAUUUGUGCAUGUGAGAAUAUCUUGACCAGAGGGUAUUGAAAGGCUGACAUAGGCUACCUGAGAGAUCCACUAUAGAUGUCUUUGUGGCACAUUUUUCCUUAAGCUGUAUUGGCUCCAUGUGAUUCUUUACUUAGAAUGUUUGCCUGACACAUACAAAAUAAUCAAUAAAUGUUUUAGGAAUGAAUAAAUGACUGAAUAAAUGAGCACUUUUCUUAACCAGCCUGGGAAUUCAUGAAUGCCUCCCUAAAAGAGAUGACACCUGAACAGUGGGCCAAUUUUUUUGGAAAGAAGAAUGGAUAUUGAGAGGUCAUGACUUUGUUAAAAGCCAUAGAAAAGAAAAUGAGUUGCCUGCCUUCCAGCAGCCUGCUCGGGUCAAAAGACAUGAUGGAUUUUGGGAUGCAUGGGUGGCUCAGCAGUUGAGCGUCUGCCUUUGAUCAGGGCAUGAUCCCCGGGUUCCAGGAUCAAGUCCCACAUCGGGCCCCCUGUGUGAAGCCUGCUUCUCCCUCUGCCUGUGUCUCUGCCUCUCUCUGUGUGUCUCUCAU
rnacentral:lncRNA from 1 species